GCUGACAUGGCUCAGUGGUUGAGCUUCAACCUAUGAACCAAGAGUUCAGGGUUCAAUUCCCGGUGAUGGCA
rnacentral:tRNA from 1 species